UUGACAUCCAGAGAAUUUAGCAGAGAUGCUUUAGUGCCUUCGGGAACUCUGAGACAGGUGCUGCAUGGCUGUCGUCAGCUCGUGUUGUGAAAUGUUGGGUUAAGUCCGCAACGAGCGCAACCCUUAUCCUUUGUUGCCAGCACGUAAUGGUGGGAACUCAAAGGAGACUGCCGGUGAUAAACCGGAGGAAGGUGGGGAUGACGUCAAGUCAUCAUGGCCCUUACGAGUAGGGCUACACACGUGCUACAAUGGCGCAUACAAAGAGAAGCGACCUCGCGAGAGCAAGCGGACCUCAUAAAGUGCGUCGUAGUCCGGAUUGGAGUCUGCAACUCGACCCCAUGAAGUCGGAAUCGCUAGUAAUCGUAAAUCAGAAUGUUACGGUGAAUACGUUCCCGGGCCUUGUACACACCGCCCGUCACACCAUGGGAGUGGGUUGCAAAAGAAGUAGAUAGCUUAACCUUCGGGAGGGCGUUUACCACUUUGUGAUUCAUGACUGGGGUGAAGUCGUAACAAGGUAGGCGUAGUGCU
rnacentral:rRNA from 1 species